rnacentral:tRNA from 1 species
GGGGUUGUGGCUCAAUGUUAGAGUGCUUGCCUAGCAUGCAUGCAUGAGGCACUGGGUUUGAUCCCCAGCACCA